rnacentral:rRNA from 1 species
CAGUCGCCGCGGGAAUACGUAGGGUGCGAGCGUUAAUCGGAAUUACUGGGCGUAAAGCGUGCGUAGGCGGCUAUUCAAGUCAGGGGUGAAAGCCCGGGGCUCAACCCCGGAACUGCCUUUGAAACUAGAUAGCUUGAAUCUUGGAGAGGCGAGUGGAAUUCCGAGUGUAGAGGUGAAAUUCGUAGAUAUUCGGAAGAGCACCAGUGGCGAAGGCGACUCGCUGGACAAGUAUUGACGCUGAGGUGCGAAAGCGUGGGGAGCAAACAGGAUUAGAUACCCGCGUAGUCCCUGUCUCUUAUAA